rnacentral:lncRNA from 1 species
CUGCGGGUGUUUGUAAAUGGCCAAAUUAAAUUAAAGAAAGGGAAGAUCAGGAACAUUUGGGGCUCUCUGAGUAACCUGGAGAGAACAGAGAGGGUGGCUAUGACAUCAGUUUAUGGGGGGAGCAUGGCCAUUUGAUGCAAGGAGCUUAGUGAUCGUUCAUUGAGAACCUACUGUGGGCAAGAGACAUACAGAGCUGACCUCAGAGGCAGGAGUUUCAAGUCUGACCUCUGACACAUGCUUGCUGUGUGACCCCUGGAGGAGCAGUCUGCAUUUGCUGCAUUUGGUGUGAAAGGUUUCCCCCUGGGGAAUUCCUUGAGGGUACAGUGGCCAGUUUCUUGGCAUUUAAGUCCCUACAUUUUUCUUCCAAAGGCCCCAGCUUCUUCUCUGCCUGGUGUUCCUGGAGCAAUCAGCAAGUGGAGCUUCCUGUUCUGGCUUCAGAAAAAUGCCAGAGACCAGCAGCUGGUGAUAGACCCUCAAAUCAACCUUUAAAGACAAAUGUAGAAGAGACCAUAAACAGAGGGUCUGGGGAGAGAGACCCCCCACAGCCAAUAUUCUGGAGAGGGGAUGAAGAAGGGGACAAACCUGAAGUGCUGAAGACUCUGGAUUUACCAACAUGGCUCAGCUGCCUUCUUGUCCUAGAGUAUUUCUGUCAUGCUGGUUCCUUUCUCCCACUGUUAUUCCAAAUAUCCUUCCUCAUCCUUCUCCCAGAGAAUGGUUCCGUAUGACAAAUAGUAUUUUUAUAGAGGAAGAAAAUCAGCAUAAUUGAUUCAUACACUGAAAAAGCCUGAAAACUUGUGCAAUACAUAAUACCUGUGAACUUCCUACUUCUAUCAAGGGGUAGGUUAUGAGUGUCUUUUCAUAUCCUUUCAUUUGAGUACUGAUUGACCUUCAUAAUUUAAUUAUAUUUACUUUUGAUUUUUGCUAUAUUGUUGUUCUUUCCAUGUACAUUGUAGUACUGUAUACAUUGUUCUCUUAGUUCUAUUUAACUCCGUCAUUUCAUACAGAUCUUCCCAUGCU